rnacentral:rRNA from 1 species
CUUGGUCAUUUAGAGGAAGUAAAAGUCGUAACAAGGUUUCCGUAGGUGAACCUGCGGAAGGAUCAUUAAACGCAAUUGGUUAUACAUUUCAUGUAUCAACUGCAUAAACCCAUUCCGAGUACCUUGCCUGUUGCUUCCAUGGGGCCUGACCUUGGUCACUCUUGAGAUGUGAAUCCCAGGAGAGUUCCCAUGGGAGGUAAUCAUUAAAUUCAUGUAUCCAAUGUCUUCUGUCUGAACUGUUUAUGACAAAUGUUAAAACUUUCAACAACGGAUCUCUUGGUUCUCGCAUCGAUGAAGAACGCAGCGAAAUGCGAUAAGUAAUGUGAAUUGCAGAAUUCAGUGAAUCAUCGAAUCUUUGAACGCACAUUGCGCCCAUUAGUAUUCUAGUGGGCAUGCCUGUUCGAGCGUCAUUUCAACCCUUAAGCUUAGCUUAGUAUUGGGAAUCUGCUUAACCGCAGCUCCUUAAAUCUAGUUGGCAGAGCACAGCUGUACUCUGAGCGUAGUAAUUCAUUAUCUCGCUUCUGGAAGACAGCCGUACGAUCGCCACAAACCUAUUUAUUUUUUAAUGGUUGACCUCGGAUCAGGUAGGAAUACCCGCUGAACUUAAGCAUAUCAAUAAGCGGAGGA